rnacentral:rRNA from 1 species
UACGGGGGGGGCAAGCGUUGUUCGGAAUUACUGGGCGUAAAGGGCUCGUAGGCGGCCAACUAAGUCAAACGUGAAAUCCCUCGGCUUAACCGGGGAACUGCGCUUGAUACUGGAUGGCUUGAGAUUGGGAGAGGGAUGCGGAAUUCCAGGUGUAGCGGUGAAAUGCGUUGAUAUCCUUAGGAGCUCCGGUGGCGAAGGCGGCACGCUGGACCUUUUCUGACGCUGAGGCGCGAAAGCUAGGGGAGCAAACGGG